ensembl:ncRNA T25D1.4 ncRNA
UGCCCCGAACCAGGAUCGAACUGGUGACCUUACGAUCUUCAGUCGUACGCUCUCCCAACUGAGCUAUCGAGGCAUGGUU